rnacentral:rRNA from 1 species
GACGAACGCUGGCGGCGUGCCUAAUACAUGCAAGUCGAACGAGAUCCCGGAGCUUGCUCCGGGGGACAGUGGCGAACGGGUGAGUAACACGUGAGAAACCUGCCCUAGAGACCGGGACAACCGUUGGAAACGGCGGCUAAUACCGGAUGCCUUCACAUGGUCGCAUGGCCGAGUGAAGAAAUGCUCAGGUGCUCUAGGAGGGUCUCGCGGCCUAUCAGCUAGUUGGUGAGGUAACGGCUCACCAAGGCAUCGACGGGUAGCUGGUCUGAGAGGACGAUCAGCCACACUGGGACUGAGACACGGCCCAGACUCCUACGGGAGGCAGCAGUAGGGAAUCUUGCGCAAUGGGG